GUUGUGGUCUUGUUGGAGGAAGUGUGUCACUGGGGGUGGGCUUUGAGAUUUCAAAAGCCCAACCCAAGCCCAGGGGCUCUCUCUCUUCCUGCUGCCUGCUGAUCC
rnacentral:miRNA from 1 species